CGGAAAUUUAGAUAAAUGAUCACAAGUACUAUUGAUUUUUACAUUUGAUCAACAGUUUCUUCGAUCUAAUAUAUGAUAGUUAUAGAAGUUUCUAAAGUGGACAACAUUCAGAUAUAUUCUGUGCCAGUGGACAAAUGGUAGAUACAAUAGCAAGAUGGCAAUAAUGUGUUUAUGCUGCUCAAGACAAAUCGCUGAAAAGUCAAUAAACAUUUCGUUACAUACUGAAAACUGUACAAACUCAAAAGAAGCCGACAUGACACUCACAUACAUUCGAGAAGUACUCAAAGAUACAAUCAUGGUUUUUGGUAUCCUGUUGAUUGCAUAUGUAACUGCAUUCAUAACAUACAAGGCAUUCACAAGAUAUUGUAAAAGAUCCCACAUACAUACCACAAAGUACAAGAAACCCAUUACUGCCUAGGUACCAUAGCCAUCAAACGAUGAUAAAAGGGAAAGGUUUAUCGAGAAUAUUGUCGUCGAUACUGAACUGUUACAACGAAGAAAUGUAUUGGCUUUUUUGAAUAAACACUGUUUUCGACCUGUCCAAGUUGACGUUAAAUGCCUGAAAGAAAACUUCUAAGCCAUUGUUAGACAUUUCCAGCAAAUCAGUUUUGUUUACUCACAAGAUAAUAUCUGUAGACUGAACAUAUAUUAGUGAUAUGGGAUCAACAGUACCUGGUCAUUGUCAAACUGCAAAAAUGUGUUCAUAAUAACUGAACUAAAAAAAAUCACCAAAUAACUCCUCAUGUAUUAUUAAAAAAUCCUAUGCUUUUAAA